UUAUCAACAAAAAAUUAAGCCCGCGUUUAUUACCCGCGUCCUUCGUUUCAAUCAAUUUCCCAAACAUUAACCCCAAACCUCCAUAGACUCAAAGUUCAGAGUGAAGCUGCUGCUGCUUCUUCUUCUCCAAUGCUUGAGAGUAGAGACCAGAGACGAAGUCACCGUCACGAAGAGAGGCAGAGAGCAGAUCAGUAGAGCUUCUUCUUCUCUGACAAUUGAGAAAACCCGCCGUCCUCCGUCGGAGAGCAGAGCUUCUUCUUCUUCUCCUCCUCCUCCGCCGAGCCCGCCACCGCGCCAUCCUGUUCAUGUUCCUAAUUCUUCUCCAACGGCAGAAGCUGUCGUUCUGAUAUGUAUGGAGCAGCGGUUUUAGAUGCAUAUGAGCAAAUAAAGGUACGCAUGGAACCUGUUGCUUCAUGGAACAACUUCAACUCAUUUGCUGAGCAUGAGUGCUUAUGGAUGAGAGAGUAGAAGGAGAUCAUGAUAUACAUUGCUGGAAAAUAACAUAUCGAAAUGGUUGUACAUGAUGAUCCUCAAUGCUUCUUACCACAGUGAUUCAAGCAUUUAAGUUUUUAUGUUCAGUUGAAAUAUUUUAGGAUGAAAUGUUUCAAGUGAUUUACAUUCCAAUUUCUAAGUUAAGAUUAUUAAUGAUGUCUUCCUUUCCAAACAAAUUUUUAAACUUAUUAAUUUCUGGUAAUAAUUUGUAUUAUGUAUACUUGUCCACUUGCAUUCUUCAUGAGUUUGUUCACUAUAAUGCUCUCAGGAGGAAAGCAGAUCUGCUGCCAUUGGAAGGCAGCAGAUGGUCACAGAGAAGGGUGGAAAUUCGAUUCAGACACUUGGCAGGGGUUCUGUUCGAAAUGAAGAGAAAACUCGCAGAUUACUAUAAUCGUACUUAAAAUAUAAUAUACCUGUAAUCUUUGGUUCUGCUUUCUGUUUUUAGAAUACUUAGAACCGCACUAACGGUUAUUUCUAUCUUUUCUCCUUGGUCUUGGAUAUGCUCACUAAAGCACAUUCAAAAUAGGUACCAUGGAACAUAUAGUCCUAUUAGGAGAAUCAAGGUAAAAAAAUAUCUUGCUACCUCUAGUUUAGUUUCCAACAUGUUAAUUAAUUUUGGCUCUUUGUAGAUUCUUGGAUGGCAACAAGUUGCUGAAAAAAUUGGAAUGCAACAUUGUGCUGCAUCAGGCCAAUGGCUAAAUGAGAGAAUUGCUCUCUCAAGAUAUGCCCAUGUACCACUUGGAAAUUUUGAACUUGACUGGCUUAUAUUUACAGCAGAUACCUUCUUCUCAAGAGCUUUGCGUGAUAGUCAACAGGUUCUGAUUGUAAGUUUAUGUAUAUGAAUGUUAUCUUCAAACUGAAACUUCAUGACUUACUGGUUCAUCCUUGAUUGUAUUGUUUGAUGAAGAGACAUGUUUUCUUGAUGAGGUAGGUCCAUAGAUAUUUAGCUUGUUAAAGCUUCAAUGUUUUUUUCAUUUUCACUUGAGAUUUAACCUUGUAUUCUUCAGGGAUCAUUAUGAUUACUAUUCAAGAAGAAACUUGUUUCCAAGUACCUCAGGCACCUAUUUUUCAUUCCAGAAUGAGCCUUUGAAUGUUGACUAUAAAUUUUAAUUUGUCAAAUCUGCUAUAUUAUCGGGGGAGCAUCUGCAAGUUUUAAAUUUUAAGUCAACUUGUUCAACUGAUCGAUCCUCAUUUCAUUUGCCAAUGUUCAAGGGACCACUUCCUUCUUUGCUCGAAACUGAUGGGUUCAUGUUGCUGCACAAAAUCAGCAACGCAUUCCAUUUGGAGUUGGUAUGGCAUCAGAUCCCAUGGCUUUGCGUAGAGGAGCAAAACAGCUUGCUAUGGAAGAUGUUUGCUAUUAUCAAUGGCCUCUGCCUGGGCUGGAUCAGUUUGGGCUAUUUGGUAUCUGCGAUGGGGCUGCUAAAUCCGCAAGCAAGUUAGUGUUUAAAUUUUAGUGGAGGCCAAUUUUAUAUCCUGAUCCAUGGUUCUUGCUCUUUUUAGUAUAUGAAAUAUUACUAAUUUUUCUCAAAUUUUCUUUUUCAAACUUUUUCCUGAGAUAAUUGCUAAUAUAUUAUUGGAUUCAUAAAAAAGGGAGCGAAUUUUAUCACUUCAUGAUGCUUCAGAAAUUCUAAGAGAUGCAUUUUCUCAAACAGAAGCAUGCUUGAAUCAUUACUGAGAUUAAAGCCACCAUCAGGGUCUGCUGUGCCUAUUGCAGAGUACAUUCCAGGUCAGGAAUCAGGAGUUAGGGUCAAAUUGAUGUCCUAUAUCCUAUAUGUUAGCAUGAGAUUUUUUUGGUAAUUUUUUAUUAACUUUUUUACUUUAGAGAAAUUUGAUCCUUCAACUAUAAUAGUUAAUUUUUGUAAUAAUGAUUCUUUUAAAGUUUUGUAGUUUAAUAUAUUAGUGCUUUCGUUAAGAAUUAAGUUGACUAAAAAAA